UGCCGAUGACACCCAACUCUAUCUGUUGAUGGAUGGCCAUCCUGACUCGGCCCCAGACACACUGACUAGAUGUUUGGAAGCUGUGGCUGGAUGGUUUCGUGGGAGCCGGUUGAAGCUAAAUCCUUCGAAGACAGAGGUCCUGUGGCUGGGACGGGGCGAUAUGGGAUUGGGGGGGCAACUCCCAUCUCUUGCGGGGGCGCAUUUAGUGCCAGCACCGUCCGUUAAGAGUUUGGGUGUAAUCUUCGACACCUCCCUUUCCAUGGAGGCGCAGAUUGCAGCUAUAACAAAGGCGGCAUUUUUCCAUCUCCGCCAAGCUAAGCAGUUGGCUCCUUACCUCUCUCGCCCUGACCUAGCCACUGUGAUCCAUGCGACGGUCACCUCCAGACUGGAUUAUUGUAACUCGCUCUACGUGGGGCUGCCCCUGAGACUGACCCAGAAACUCCAGCGGGUGCAGAAUGCUGCAGCGAGACUCCUUACGAGGUCUUCGCUGCGAGAUCACAUUCACCCGGUGCUAUACCAGCUGCACUGGCUCCCGGUGGAGUACAGGAUCAGGUUUAAGGUGCUGGUUUUAACCUUUAAAGCCCUAUACGGCCUAGGACCCUCGUACCUACGGGACCGCCUCUCCUGGUAUGCCCCACAGAGAAACUUACGGUCUUCGAAUAAAAACAUCUUGAAGGUCCCAGGCCCCAGAGAAGUUAGGCUGGCCUCAACUAGAGCCAGGGCUUUUUCGGCUGUGGCUCCGAUCUGGUGGAACACUCUGUCACAAGAGACCAGGGCCCUGCGGGACUUGACAUCUUUCCGCAGGGCCUGCAAGACAGAGCUGUUCCACCAGGCCUUUGGCCAGGGCACAGCCUGACUCCCUCCCUCGGCAAUCUUCGCGGAGCUCUGGCCCAAUGGUUGCCAGUGGCUUGAAUUAAUUAAUUUUAUAACGAAUGAUUUUAGACUGUUGUUUAUGCUGUACUUUUGUACUGUUUUAUUGUUGUUAGCCGCCCUGAGCCCGGCUUCGGCUGGGGAGGGCGGGAUAUAAAUAAAAUUUAUUAUUAUUAUUAUUAUU
rnacentral:lncRNA from 1 species